UUGAUCAUGGAUCGACAUGAGUUCAUGGCUGUUGUUCUCAUCCUGUCAAUUAACUGGGCUGGUACUGAGGGUCAAACACUGACUGAAUCUGGACCAGUAGUCAAAAGACCAGGAGACUCCCACAGACUGACCUGUACAUACUCAGGGUUCAGUGGCGAUAUUUAUGCAGUUUGGGUCAGACAAGCUGCUGGAAAAGGACUGGAGUGGAUUGCUAGAAUCAGUGAUGAUAGCAACUAUAUCUCUUACUCUCAGUCAGUCAGAGGCCGCUUCACCAUCUCCAGAGACAACAGCAGAAAGCAGCUGUAUCUGCAGAUGAGCAGUUUGACAACUGAGGAUUCUGCUGUUUAUUAUUGUGCUCGAGAGUCACAGUGACACAAGAGGAAGAAACUGUGUACAA